GGACGAAAGAGCAGACAGAAGUGUUUAUAAAGCUCCGGGGAGAGAACGAUGAGCUCUUCACCGGAGCAGAGAACUCUGCCACUGUGGGAUGGAGGAUAGUUUUGGAGAAGAUGGGCCUGUCUGGUAAAGUGACACCAGCCCAAGCAAAGAAAAAGUGGGACAAUUUAAAAAAGAAAUAUAAAGAAUGCAAGUAUCCAGGGUCAGGAGAGGGAGUGAGUGGGAAGCCCACUGCUGCUACUUGGCCCUGGUUUGUCCAAAUGGAUGAGGUUUUAGGACAAAGGCCUUCAAUUUGCCCCCCUGUCCUUAUUGCCUCCAUCCCUAUGGACACUCCAGGGCCAAGUGCAGCAGUGAGUGACCAAGAGGAGAGAGAGGAAGAAGAGAGGGAAGGAGAUAGGCAGCCAGCAGCGAAGAAGAGGAGAAGGGACAGUGACCAGGAGCUGUUAGACCUCAUCAGGGAGGACAUGAGGCAGCAGAGAGAGGCUGAAGAGAGGAGAGCACAGGCUGAAGAGAGGAGGGCACAGGAGAGCAGGGAGAGGAUGGACAGGCUCUUCUCCAUUCUGGAGCGUUGGGUCCCCAAAUAAUUUUUUUUUUUCUUGGGGUGGGAGGGAUUACAUUUUUUCCAUUGUUAGCUUCAGUUGUUUGAAAUAAAUUGUUUGAAAGAAAUACUUCUCA
ensembl:lncRNA